rnacentral:rRNA from 1 species
UAAGGUGGUUAUAGCAAUGGGGCUCACCUCUUACCAUUCCGAACAGAGAAGUUAAGCCCAUUAGCGCCGAUGGUACUACAUUUGUGGAAGAGUAGGUCGCCGCCUUUU